UACGGAGGGAGCUAGCGUUGUUCGGAAUUACUGGGCGUAAAGCGCACGUAGGCGGCUUUGUAAGUUAGAGGUGAAAGCCCGGGGCUCAACCCCGGAAUUGCCUUUAAGACUGCAUCGCUUGAAUCCGGGAGAGGUGAGUGGAAUUCCGAGUGUAGAGGUGAAAUUCGUAGAUAUUCGCAAGAACACCAGUGGCGAAGGCGGCUCACUGGCCCGGUACUGACGCUGAGGAGCGAAAGCGUGGGGAGCAAACAGG
rnacentral:rRNA from 1 species